GGGCCCGCACAAGCGGUGGAGUAUGUGGUUUAAUUCGAUGCAACGCGAAGAACCUUACCUGGGCUCUAAUGCGAGUGACCGCUCCUGAAAGGGAGCUUUCCUUCGGGACACGAAGCAAGGUGCUGCAUGGUUGUCGUCAGCUCGUGCCGUGAGGUGUUGGGUUAAGUCCCGCAACGAGCGCAACCCCUAUCUUUAGUUGCCAGCGAUUCGGUCGGGGACUCUAGAGAGACUGCCUGCGCAAGCAGAGAGGAAGGCGGGGACGACGUCAAAUCAUCAUGGCCUUUAUGCCCAGGGCUACACACGUGCUACAAUGGUAAGGACAAAGGGCAGCGAGCCGGCGACGGUCAGCGAAUCCCAAAAACCUUAUCUCAGUUCGGAUUGGAGUCUGCAACUCGACUCCAUG
rnacentral:rRNA from 1 species